AAAAGGUGACCGACUCUUCGGAGAGCUUGCACAGGUGCUGCAUGGCUGUCGUCAGCUCGUGUCGUGAGAUGUUCGGUUAAGUCCGCUAACGAGCGCAACCCUCGCUGUGUGUUACAAGUGUCACACGGUACUGCCGGUCUUAAGCCGGAGGAAGGUGGGGAUGACGUCAAGUCAGCAUGGCCUUUAUAUCCUGGGCUACACACACGCUACAAUGGCCAACACAAUAGGUUGCUAAACCGCGAGGUGGAGCCAAUCCAAAAAAGUUGGUCUCAGUUCAGAUUGUAGGCUGCAACUCGCCUGCAUGAAGAUGGAGUUGCUAGUAAACGCAGGUCAGCUAUACUGCGUUGAAUACGUUCCCGGGGCUUGUACACACCGCCCGUCACGUCAUGGAAGUUGGCAACACCUGAAGCCGGUAUCCUAACCGUAAGGAGGGAGCCGUCGAAGGUGGGGUCGAUAACUGGGACGAAGUCGUAACAAGGUAGGUGUACCGGAAGGUGCGCCU
rnacentral:rRNA from 1 species